GAUGAAGAACGUAGCGAAAUGCGAUAAGUAAUGUGAAUUGCAGAAUUCAGUGAAUCAUCGAAUCUUUGAACGCACAUUGCGCCCCCUGGUAUUCCGGGGGGCAUGCCUGUCCGAGCGUCAUUACAACCUUCAAGCUCAGCUUGGUGUUGGGCCCCGCCGCCCCGGCGGGCCCUAAAGUCAGUGGCGGUGCCGUCCGGCUCCGAGCGUAGUAAUUCUUCUCGCUCUGGAGGUCCGGUCGUGUGCUCGCCAGCAACCCCCAAUUUUUUUCAGGUUGACCUCGGAUCAGGUAGGGAUACCCGCUGAACUUAAGCAUAUCAAUAAGCGGAGGA
rnacentral:misc_RNA from 1 species